GACGAACGCUGGCGGCGUGCCUAAUACAUGCAAGUCGAGCGGACAGAAGGGAGCUUGCUCCCGGAAGUUAGCGGCGGACGGGUGAGUAACACGUGGGCAACCUACCCUGUAGAUCGGGAUAACAUCGAGAAAUCGGUGCUAAUACCGGAUAAUCAUUUGAAGUGCAUGCUUCGAAUGUAAAAGAUGGCUCCGGCUAUCACUACGGGAUGGGCCCGCGGCGCAUUAGCUAGUUGGUAAGGUAAUGGCUUACCAAGGCAACGAUGCGUAGCCGACCUGGGAGGGUGAGCGGCCACACUGGGACUGAGACACGGCCCAGACUCCUACGGGAGGCAGCAGUAGGGAAUCUUCCGCAAUGGACGAAAGUCUGACGGAGCAACGCCGCGUGAGUGAUGAAGGUUUUCGGGUCGUAAAGCUCUGUUGUUAGGGAAGAACAAGUGCCGUUUGAAUAAGGCGGCACCUUGACGGUACCUAACCAGAAAGCCACGGCUAACUACGUGCCAGCCGCCGCCGUAAUAC
rnacentral:rRNA from 1 species